UGAGUAACCUGCCCUUAACUCUGGGAUAAGCCUGGGAAACCGGGUCUAAUACCGGAUAUGACUGCCGGCCGCAUGGCCUGGUGGUGGAAAGCUUUAUUGCGGUUUUGGAUGGACUCGCGGCCUAUCAGCUUGUUGGCGGGGUAAUGGCCCACCAAGGCGACGACGGGUAGCCGGCCUGAGAGGGUGACCGGCCACACUGGGACUGAGACACGGCCCAGACUCCUACGGGAGGCAG
rnacentral:rRNA from 1 species